rnacentral:lncRNA from 1 species
GUUCAGAACAAUGGCCCCCACCAAUGUCUCCAUCUCUGGAGAGGUCCCUCUCCUCACCAAGAUACACCCACAGCCCGCCAGGAUUGUGUGGCUAUUCAGGGUCCCUUGAGAUGCCAUAUGAAUUUUAUGUUGUGUUUUUCUGUUUCUGCAAAAAAAAAAAAAAAAUCAUUGGGAUCUUGAUAAGCAAAAGGAUACAAGUGAAAAUCAGCCGAGGGAAGAGACUCAUGGAGCAGAGUCCAGGAGGGGUCCAAAUGCAGAGCUCCUAGCAUUCUGUCUCCAUGGAGCCAUGCAGUCAUGGACAGCGUCACCUCCUUGCGGUCACCAUGUGUGACAAUACACAUAACAUAUUGCCAAC